rnacentral:lncRNA from 1 species
UUUCUCUUCUUCUUCUCUCUAUACGUUGGUGUUCUAACCAAUAAUCACCGAUGCGAUGUUCUGUCCGAUCGAUUCAGGAACCAUCUAACGAAUGCCGAAGUGUUGUGCUUUGUGAAUUUUGUUAAACGGAAUCCAAAGUACUAUACUUUGUGAGUUCAUUUAAUGGAUACCAAAGUACUGUCUAAAUAAGACUAUACUUUGUGAAAUUCGUUAAGGUUCGAAUCUCGUGACUACCGUUAAGGUUUGAUUUGGGUUUUACACAAAUACGUAUUCCAUUCUGUUAAACUAUAUGUUUAACUACCGAAAAUACUUCCCACUACACACUCACAAUCAAACAAAGUAUUAAAUCAUCAGAAGAUCCAGAAUAAUAAAGUGCAUGCUUAAUUAUCGGAAGAAGUAGAAUCAAGAAGCUUGUUAACUCAAUCUUGCAUGCUUAUAAAGUAACUACAGUAGAUUGGGGUAAGAAUUGGAUCCAGCACUGAAGGACUUCAAGAAGUGGCUUAUUUUAUUAAAUAAAUCAACUUAAGAAAUAUUGUUUUUGGGUUUAUCCCUUAUUAAAAGUUAUCUUUGUAAAACAUGGAAUUAUUCCAUCUAUUUAAAUAAAAUCCGGUGUUUUCUAAACUCUGAUAUUUUUCCUAACUCACGGUCCUGAUGAAAUUUCCGCUGCAAUGUUUUCAAAAAUAACCACCGGUACCACUGGACUGCUCGCGGCUUCCGAUUCCGGCCAGGAUGGGGUCGGGGGUCGUGACACCUAACUUUCUUAAAAUCCUUGUGUCCCCGGCAACGGCGCCAAAAACUUGAUGCGUGUCAGUGUGUAUAUAAUUUAGAUGUAUAUUUUAAGCCAUUUUUACACUUUUUAGCCAAGUUUUAAAUUUAUAAACACGAUAUUCACUAACACUAAACACUUAUGGGCAAGUGCACCCAUCGUGGACGUAGUAUAGUGUUGGUAAGACACCGAGGUCGUCCAAGGACACAAGAGCUUUUAGUACUGGUUUAUCCUCAACGUCUAAUCAAAUCAAAAUGUUAGAAAAAGAUUUUUAAACUAGAAAAAUAA